UGGAGCUUUACUGUAGCCUGAUAUUGAAAUUCGGCACAGCUUGUACAGGAUAGGUAGGAGCCUUUGAAACGUGAGCGCUAGCUUACGUGGAGGCGCUGGUGGGAUACUACCCUAGCUGUGUUGGCUUUCUAACCCGCACCACUUAUCGUGGUGGGAGACAGUGUCAGGCGGGCAGUUUGACUGGGGCGGUCGCCUCCUAAAAGGUAACGGAGGCGCUCAAAGGUUCCCUCAGAAUGGUUGGAAAUCAUUCAUAGAGUGUAAAGGCAUAAGGGAGCUUGACUGCGAGACCUACAAGUCGAGCAGGGUCGAAAGACGGACUUAGUGAUCCGGUGGUUCCGC
rnacentral:rRNA from 1 species